CCUACGGGAGGCAGCAGUGAGGAAUAUUGGUCAAUGGACGAGAGUCUGAACCAGCCAAGUAGCGUGAAGGAUGACUGCCCUAUGGGUUGUAAACUUCUUUUAUAUGGGAAUAAAAUGUUCCACGUGUGGGAUUUUGUAUGUACCAUAUGAAUAAGGAUCGGCUAACUCCGUGCCAGCAGCCGCGGUGAUACGGAGGAUCCGAGCGUUAUCCGGAUUUAUUGGGUUUAAAGGGAGCGUAGGUGGAUUGUUAAGUCAGUUGUGAAAGUUUGCGGCUCAACCGUAAAAUUGCAGUUGAAACUGGCAGUCUUGAGUACAGUAGAGGUGGGCGGAAUUCGUGGUGUAGCGGUGAAAUGCUUAGAUAUCACGAAGAACUCCGAUUGCGAAGGCAGUUCACUGGACUGCAACUGACACUGAGGCUCGAAAGUGUGGGUAUCAAACAGGAUUAGAUACCCCUGUAGUC
rnacentral:rRNA from 1 species